AUCUUCAUAGCUCAGUGGUAUGGUAGAGCGUCGGUUUCGUACCUACAGUAUUAGUAAGAAAACCAAACCGGAAGUCGAGAGUUCCAUCCUCUCUGAAGCUA
rnacentral:tRNA from 1 species